rnacentral:rRNA from 1 species
UACGGGGGGAGCAAGCGUUGUUCGGAUUUACUGGGCGUAAAGGGCGCGUAGGCGGUCAGCACAAGUCAAUUGUGAAAUCUCCGAGCUUAACUCGGAAAGGUCAACUGAAACUGUGCGACUAGAGUGCGGAAGGGGCAACUGGAAUUCUUGGUGUAGCGGUGAAAUGCGUAGAUAUCAGGAGGAACACCAAUGGCGAAGGCAGAUCUCUGGGCCGUAACUGACGCUGAGGAGCGAAAGCAUGGGGAGCGAACAGG